rnacentral:rRNA from 1 species
GCAUGUCGAACGAGAGAGAGGAAGCUUGCUUACUUGAUCGAGUGGCGAACGCGUGAGUAACGAGUGAGGAACCGGCCUCAAAGAGGGGGACAACAGUUGGAAACGACUGCUAAUACCGCAUAAGCCCACGGCUCGGCAUCGAGCAGAGGGAAAAGGAGCAAUCCGCUUUGAGAUGGCCUCGCGUCCGAUUAGCUAGUUGGUGAGGUAAUGGCCCACCAAGGCAACGAUCGGUAGCCGGACUGAGAGGUUGAAC